rnacentral:rRNA from 1 species
GACGAACGCUGGCGGCGUGCUUAACACAUGCAAGUCGAACGGAAAGGCCCUGCUUUUGUGGGGUGCUCGAGUGGCGAACGGGUGAGUAACACGUGAGUAACCUGCCCUUGACUUUGGGAUAACUUCAGGAAACUGGGGCUAAUACCGGAUAGGAGCUCCUGCUGCAUGGUGGGGGUUGGAAAGUUUGGGCGGGUGGGGAUGGACUCGCGGCUUAUCAGCUUGUUGGUGGGGUAGUGGCUUACCAAGGCUUUGACGGGUAGCCGGCCUGAGAGGGUGACCGGCCACAUUGGGACUGAGAUACGGCCCAGACUCCUACGGGAGGCAGCAGUGGGGAAUAUUGCACAAUGGGCGGAAGCCUGAUGCAGCAACGCCGCGUGCGGGAUGACGGCCUUCGGGUUGUAAACCGCUUUCGCCUGUGACGAAGCGUGAGUGACGGUAAUGGGUAAAGAAGCACCGGCUAACUACGUG